ACUAUUCCUAGCCUAACCUAAAACUACACACAAAUAUUAAUACUAAAUAAAACAAAACAUUUAUAAUUAAAUAGUAUAGGUGAUAGAAAUUUACUAAAGCGCUAUAGAGAAAGUACCGUAAGGGAAAGAUGAAAGAAACAAUAAAAGUAUAAAACAGCAUAGAUUAUCCCUACUACCUUUUGCAUAAUGAAUUAACUAGAACAUAUUUGACAAAAAGAUCUAAAGUCAAAUUCCCCGAAACCAAGCGAGCUACUUUCAAACAGCUAAUAAUGAGCAAACUCAUCCAUGUAGCAAAAUGGUGAGAAGAUUUAAAAGUAGAGGUGAAAAGCCUAUCGAGCUUGGAGAUAGCUGGUUAUCCAAACAAGAAUUUUAGUUCAACUAUAAGUAUUCCCAAAAGCUUAAAACUUUAAUGAAAACUUAAAUGUUAAUUUAAGGAGGGACAGCUCCUUAAAUAAGGGUACAUCCUUAAACAGAGAGUAAAUAUAUUAAUUACCAUAGUAGGCCUAAAAGCAGCCACCAAUUAAGAAAGCGUUCAAGCUCAACGCAUCCACUCAAAUAAAUACCAAAAAUUUAUAUUAAUCCCCUGUUAAGACAAUUGGAUUAAUCUAUAACAUAUAUAGAAGAAAUAAUGUUAAUAUUAGUAAUAAGAAUAAUUUCUCCUUGCACAAGCUUAUGUUAACUUAACUAACCAUUUAACAGUCCUAUAAAUAAAUUCAACUAAUAAAGCAAUUAUUAUAAUUACUGUUAACUCAACCCCGAAGUGCACUAAGGAAGGUUAAAAUAAGCAAAAGGAACUCGGCAAACACUAGCCCCGCCUGUUUACCAAAAACAUCACCUCUAGCAUAAAAAGUAUUAGAGGCACUGCCUGCCCAGUGACUAAGUAAGUUAAACGGCCGCGGUAUUCUGACCGUGCAAAGGUAGCAUAAUCAUUUGUUCUUUAAAUAAGGACUAGUAUGAAUGGCUUAACGAGGGCUAAACUGUCUCUUGCUUACAACCAACGAAAUUGACCUCCCCGUGAAGAGGCGGGGAUAAAAAAACAAGACGAGAAGACCCUAUGGAGCUUAAAUUUAUUAAUACAUCUUUAACAACCUUAAUCAACAGGAGAUAAAAACUAAAUAAUGAAUUAAUAAUUUUGGUUGGGGUGACCUCGGAGCAAAAAAUAACCUCCGAAUGAUAUUAACCUAGACUUACAAGUCAAAGCUACUAUCAUAAAUUGACCCAGAAAAAAUCUGAUCAACGAACCAAGUUACCCUAGGGAUAACAGCGCAAUCCUAUUCUAGAGUCCAUAUCAACAAUAGGGUUUACGACCUCGAUGUUGGAUCAGGACCCCCAAAUGGUGCAACCGCUAUUAAAGGUUCGUUUGUUCAACGAUUAAAGUCCUACGUGAUCUGAGUUCAGACCGGAGCAAUCCAGGUCGGUUUCUAUCUAUUAUAAAUUUCUCCCAGUACGAAAGGACAAGAGAAAUGGGGCCUAUAACCCAAUUAUGCCUCAAUAGCAAAAAGAUGAUAUUAUAUCAAUCUAAUAACUAUUAAAAUAUCCACAACCCU
rnacentral:rRNA from 1 species